rnacentral:lncRNA from 1 species
CGUGCGCUGUCAAGGAAUUCGAUGCAGGCGCGAGCGCCUCCCCUACACAGAUCGAGGGUCCCUGCGAGAUAGAGACGCGGAGCUAUGGCGGCGAGCGACAAUGGAUUUUUCGAUGCAACCAAUCGGCAGGUACGCGCAUCCGUACUUUUCCCUGCGGUCUCUCCUUGGUUUGUAGGUGGAUUGCUUUCGUGGCUGACAGAGGAGCUUCCAAUUUUUCAGAUCUUGUUUCAUUGAGGAUGUGGGGGAGAGCUUGGUGCCGCCCCCCUGUGACUGCGGCCGUAGGCUUGGCGACGGGCCCUGUGUCUGCCAAUGGCGAUAUGCGGGUACAUCUGAUGGUUUCGCAACAGCCGCAGAAGUCUGGGUGGAAUAAGUUGUGAGUGUGAAAACUUGGUGUUUGCAUUAGGAAAUUCAGAAUUUUGAUGGUGGGGUGGGUAGAUGCAGUGUUGAUUUUAGACAUGUCUGACCAAAUCAUUCAUAUGGAGCUAAAUUCUUUGAGUGUUGCGGGCUUAUUCUUUUUACAAAUUUGAUUAGAGAUAUGUUGGUGUGUGCAGGUUGAGGAUUGGUGCCGCUGCACCCAGCAG